UUUCCCUUUGUCACUCCGUAAGUACUCCUUGCCCCAGACCAAAGGGUGGGGAACUUCUCUGAGAAAAGUGGCUGCCCUCCAUAGCGGUCUUUGCUCACUUGAAAAUGCAGAUCCGAGGUAUCGGCUGUGGUAAGCCUCCUCUCGGAAUUCAUAGUAAGCUCGGCCAUGUUCAUCCUUCUCAUCCCGCUGUCUCUUUACCCCCCGCCGCUCACCAUCUGAGCCUGCUGGUUUUGACUUUUCACUAUCCUGGUCAUCUCCCUGUUCCUCGGCGGCCUUGUCACCCGGCACCUCGGAUCCCGGCGUCUCGUCCCCGCUCCGCUCCUCGGGUUCGUCUUCCUCCCUCUUGCCGAGGCCCUGCUCUUCGCCACCAUUUACCCCGCCUGACCCGGCCGUGGCCUCCGCCGGCUUCUCGGAAGCAUCUGGCUCGGCCGCGGCCUCCAUGGCUGCCGCCUCCGGGGGCUCCGGCGGCGGCUGCGCGGCCUGACCCAAGGCUUGAGCAGGGGGUGGCUCCUCGUCCUCGUCCUCAAGCAGCGCCUCCUCGUCCUCCUCCUCCUCCUCUUCGUCCUCCUCCUCGUCCCCGCCCGGGCCGCCGCCCGACGCGGCCACAGGCCGAGGCUCCGCCUUGCAGGCCCCGCCGGGCCCGGCCCCGCCGCCGCCGGCCUCGUCCUCGAGCAUCUCGGCGUCCAGCGCCUCCUGCAGCCGCUGCGCCAGAUCCACCUUGAGGCCGCGCGAGUCCAGGCCCCGCCGCUGCAGCUCCGACCGCAGCUCGGUCACUUUCAGCCGCUUCACCUCCAUCGCCGCCGCCGCCUCCUCCGCCUCCCGCCGCCUCCUCCCCUGCGAACCGUCGACCGAGUCCGACCGCGCAGGCGCCGCCGCCGCCGCCCGCCUCCGCCUCACGCGCCAGCACUGAGCCCGCGCGAGCGAGCGCACGCACGCAGGAGCGGAGGCCGCGCACGGUCCCGCUGCGCAGUGUUUGCUUCUCCUUCGUCUCCCCUCCCCCUUUCGGCUCACGGAGCCCAAAACAACGCAGCAGGGAGCUGUUUCCCCUCCAGGCCCUUGGUUCCCCAGCCGCGGGCAGGCGCGCGCGGAGGACGACGGAGUUCCUCCCGCUUCCUCCCGCCCUCUGGCGCCCCCGGG
rnacentral:lncRNA from 1 species